AUUGAACGCUGGCGGCAGGCCUAACACAUGCCAGUCGAACGGUAACAGGAAGACUCUUGCUUCUUUGCUGACGAGUGGCGGACGGGUGAGUAAUGUCUGGGAAACUGCCUGAUGUAGGGGGAUAACUACUGGAAACGGUAGCUAAUACCGCAUAACGUCGCAAGACCAAAGAGGGGGACCUUCGGGCCUCUUGCCAUCGGAUGUGCCCAGAUGGGAUUAGCUAGUAGGUGGGGUAACGGCUCACCUAGGCGACGAUCCCUAGCUGGUCUGAGAGGAUGACCAGCCACACUGGAAGUGAGACACGGUCCAGAGUCCUACGGGAGGCAGCAGUGGGGAAUAUUGCACAAUGGGCGCAAGCCUGAUGCAGCCAUGCCGCGUGUAUGAAGAAGGCCUUCGGGUUGUAAAGUACUUUCAGCGGGGAGGAAGGGAGUAAAGUUAAUACCUUUGCUCAUUGACGUUACCCGCAGAAGAAGCACCGGCUAACUCCGUG
rnacentral:rRNA from 1 species